GAGGGCUCUAAAAGGGAUACCACAGUGUGAUCUGCUUUAUUCAUGACUAAAUAAAUUGUACAUAAUCUCCAUAUAUAUAUAACGAAGUGAAAUAAAAAAGAACAAUGUAUGUAUAUAGACUUCCGAAACAAAUAAACGACUCUAUACAGGUAGUAGGCUCCUUUGUGAGUAGGCUUUGCUAUAGGCUACGAUAUACACCUGGAUAUACAUGUUGCUGUGUGGGCAAAAAAGAUGCAAAAGGUGCGGACAUUGUUGUAUCAUAUGUAAUGGCAAUAAUGAGAUAAAGAAAGGAAUAUAUAAUGAAAUAAGGGGCAGAAAAAGAUGUAAUAGAAAGGUUGACAAAAGGAAAUAGAAAGUUUGGAAAAGGUUGUAAAAUGUAAAGGAAAUAAUAGGAGUUAAAUAAAGGAAGAUAUUUUAAGGAUGAAGGGUAGAAAUAAAAGGCAGAAAAAGAUGUAAUAUAUAAAAGAAAGGUCAGCAAAGAGAAAUAGAAAGUUUGGAAAAGGUUAUAAAAUGUAAAGGAUAUAAUAGGAGUUAAAUAAAGGAAGAUAUUUUAAGGAUGAAGAGUUGAAAUAAAAGGCAGAAAAAGAUGUAAUAUAUAAAAGAAAGGUCAGCAAAGAGAAAUAGAAAGUUUGGAAAAGGUUGUAAAAUGUAAAGGAAAUAAUAGGAGUUAAAUAAAGGAAGAUAUUUUAAGGAUGAAGAGUUGAAAUAAAAGCCAGAAAAAGAUGUCAUAUAUAAAAGAAAGGUUGACAAAAGGAAAUAGAAAGUUUGGAAAAGGUUGUAAAAUGUAAAGGAAAUAAUAGGAGUUAAAUAAAGGAAGAUAUUUUAAGGAUGAAGAGUUGAAAUAAAAGCCAGAAAAAGAUGUAAUAUAUAAAAGAAAGGUCAGCAAAGAGAAAUAGAACGUUUGGAAAAGGUUGUAAAAUGUAAAGGAAAUAAUAGGGGUUAAAGAAGAGGAGAUACUAGGUUGGCGAAAUGAUGAAAAGUGUGGAAAAUCUUGAAAUAUGUCAUGGAAAUAAUAGAGAAAAAGAAAGGAAUAUAGAAAAGAGUUGAUAUGAAGGCAGAUUGAGUAGUGGGUAAGGAUGGAGGUAAGAAUUAAUAUAGAAGAAAAAAAAUUGAUAUGAAUGAAAGAUAGAAAAAAAAGAUUGAGGGUAAAAAAUAAGAAGUUGAUAUGAAAAUAAAGGAGAAAACAAUUAGAAUGAGUAUGAGAAAGAAGGUUGACAUUAAAGAAAGAAAAAUAUGAAAAAAAAAAAGAAUUAAUAUGAAAGUCAGGAUAAGAAAAUGCGUAAAGAAAGUAGAAAUAGAAAAAAAUAAAGGUUGUUAUGGAGGUCAGAAUAGAGGAAAAAGAAAAAGUUAGUAUGAGUUUAGAAAUAUAAAAGAAGGAAAAGAAAUACCACAGAAAAAAAUACAAAAAGAAAAGGUUAGUAUGAGUUUAGAAAUAUAAAAGAAGGAAAAGAAAUACCACAGAAAAAAAUACAAAGAAAAAAUGUGAUUAUAGUUGAAACAGUAGCAUUUAACAACUCUCUCUCUCUCUCUCUCUCUCUCUC